GCGAGAGUGGUGGAAUGGCAGACACGCCAGAUUUAGGUUCUGGUGCCCCAGGCGUAAGGGUUCAAGUCCCUUCUCUCGCA
rnacentral:tRNA from 1 species